AAUAUCGAUGUAGAAACAGGUGUAGGUGAAAGGUGUCUUUCAUCUGCUUAAAAGGGAAGUUCGGUUGGAAUCCGACGCUGUCCCGCAACUGUAUUUGGGAGCGAUUCGAAAAAGCCACUGUUUUCAUGGAAAUGAAGAUGGGAAGGUUCGAAGAGCGAUGAUCAUAAGCCAGGAGACCUGCCUGUUUUAGCAUGCAUCA
rnacentral:ncRNA from 2 species